rnacentral:rRNA from 1 species
CGAACGCUGGCGGCGUGCUUAACACAUGCAAGUCGACCGGAAAGGCCCUGCUUGCAGGGUACUCGAGUGGCGAACGGGUGAGUAACACGUGGGUGAUCUGCCCUGCACUUCGGGAUAAGCCUGGGAAACUGGGUCUAAUACCGGAUAGGAGCCAUUUUUAGUGUGAUGGUUGGAAAGUUUUUUCGGUGUAGGAUGAGCUCGCGGCCUAUCAGCUUGUUGGUGGGGUAAUGGCCUACCAAGGCGGCGACGGGUAGCCGGCCUGAGAGGGUGGACGGCCACAUUGGGACUGAGAUACGGCCCAGACUCCUACGGGAGGCAGCAGUGGGGAAUAUUGCACAAUGGGCGCAAGCCUGAUGCAGCGACGCCGCGUGGGGGAUGACGGCCUUCGGGUUGUAAACUCCUUUCGCUAGGGACGAAGCUUUUUGUGACGGUACCUAGAGAAGAAGCACCGGCUAACUACGUG